GACUCUCGCAACGGAUAUCUCGGCUCUCGCAUCGAUGAAGAACGGCGAAAUAUACUUGCAGAAUCUGAACCAUCGAGCCGCAAGUUGCGCCCGAAGCCGUUAGGCCGAGGUCUGCCUGGGCGUCA
rnacentral:rRNA from 1 species